ACAGCAGUGGAUCACAGUGAUGGCAGAUAUCCCUGUUUAUGGGGAUUUAAUGGGAACUGCAGCACUAUUAAAUUUGAUGGAAAUCACUGCACAAAACUUUACAUCCACCUUUUGGGAAACUUAUACAUUUAGGCAAAUUCUUCUCCUUAUGAGAGCAGAGCAUGCACAGAGAGCCAGGAGCUGCUCCAGCCAGCAGAGCUGGGUAGUGACACAUAAAAAACUACAAGUUUAUAUAUACAUACACAUAUAUAUAUAAAUAAAAAUAUAUAUUUAGGUCUGUUUUUGGAGGAGGGAAAGCAGUGGGAUGCACGGAGCCAUGUAUCCAGAGCCAUCUGUGUCCCCGGUCCUGUCUUUCACACGAUUUGGAGACAGUCUCCCGUUGCCAUGAAGAAAUCCUGCUACAGGAAAGGUCAAAGAGACCACGCUGCAUUCUUGCUUCUUGCCCCUCACCCUGCAAGGGCCAGACUGAGCACGUUUGGCUGGCCUGUCUUCCCCAGGAGCCUGAGCAGCUCCAAGGAGAGCGCUGGAAAGAUGGAUUGAGGAUCGCUGCUAGUGCACAGCACGCGUGGCAUUUUUCACCCUCACAUCACCAUGGGAUGCUGGGCUGGGAACUGACAACUCCUUACCCCAGUGCCUUAGGAGCUCGUGCUCUGUCAAGGGGCACCUUUGACUUCUGAACUGAGGAGGGCACGUGUGGCCUCUGCUGCUGGGGAGGGCAGCUCACAGUCCCCUGGGGAUGGGGUAAGGAAAGCUCCAGGCCUCUCUGCAGGGGUGACAGUGACUUUGAAACACAGUUUUUCAUCGAGAUUUCUUCUUGGACUGAAAGGGGGAAAGGUGUCUGUGUUAGGCAUGGGUAUUGGAGUAGAAAACAACUGUAAUUUCUAAUAAAUAAUUAUCAUCAGUGUAAGGUCUCCUGUUUUUUAAAGAAUUUUGGGUUCAUUCUGACAGAAAAUCACUUUGUUAUGUACAGCUGUCAGUGCUGACCUAAGGUACACUUUUACAAGGCAUAGAUUCAGUUUUCUACAGCAGUGCCAGAGAUUCUAUGAGCAUCUGGAUCCCUGUGGUGUAACAAAGCCUUUGAGACCCAGCAGUCAGAGGGCAGCCACAGGCAGGAGGGCAGCUGCACCUGGUUAGCAGGAGGUUAAAUGGGAACCAUAAAGCAAGUUUCACUUUAUAGCCAGAUAACUUCACAUCCUGCGGUCACCUUGGAUUUCUGCUGGGUAAAACAUCCUGACAGAAACCACUGCCAGUGCCAUGGGAAGAGCUGGGAGCUCCUGGCCAAGAGUGGAUGUGCUGUUUCUGACACUGCUAAACUAUUCCAUGGCUCACCUGGAGCCCAGAAACUUCUGCUAGAAA